rnacentral:tRNA from 1 species
GGGGGCGUAGCUCAGUUUGGUUAGAGCACUCGACUGUCACUCGAGAGGUCGCGGGUUCGAGCCCCGUCGCUCCCGUCA